AUAAUACUCCCUCCGUCCGGAAAUACUUCGAAGAAAUGGAUGUAUCUAAAUGUAUUUUAGUUUUAGAUACAUCAAUUUUUAUUCAUUUAUACGACAAGUAAUUCUGAACGGAGGGAGUAUAUA
rfam:Triticum aestivum genome assembly, contig: Triticum_aestivum_CS42_TGACv1_scaffold_529308_6DL